rnacentral:rRNA from 1 species
CGGUAUAUUGACCGUGCGAAGGUAGCAUAAUAAUUUGUCUUUUAAUUGAGGACUAGUAUAAAUGGUCGAACAAAAAGUUAGCUGUCUCUGAGUCAUAUCUUGAAUUUAACAUUUAAGUGAAAAGGCUUAAAUAAUUUAAGGGGACGAUAAGACCCUAUAAAUCUUUAUAUUAAUUUAUUGUUAAGCUGGAAAAUAGAAUUAAUUCGUGGGGUAACAAUUUUAAAUAUUUUGUUGGGGAGACAGAAGUAUAAAAGAAUAACUACUUUGGAUAAAGAGUUAAUGAUAUUUAAUGUAGAGACCCUUUCCUAAGGGUUAUAGAACAAGUUACUUUAGGGAUAACAGCGUAAUUUCUUUUGAGAGUCCAUAUCGAAAAAGAAGCUUGCGACCUCGAUGUUGAAUUAAAGACCCUAUAAUAACGCAGAAG